rnacentral:rRNA from 1 species
CCUACGGGUGGCAGCAGUGGGGAAUAUUGCACAAUGGGCGCAAGCCUGAUGCAGCGACGCCGCGUGCGGGAUGGAGGCCUUCGGGUUGUAAACCGCUUUUGAUCGGGAGCAAGCCCUUCGGGGUGAGUGUACCUUUCGAAUAAGCACCGGCUAACUACGUGCCAGCAGCCGCGGUAAUACGUAGGGUGCAAGCGUUAUCCGGAAUUAUUGGGCGUAAAGGGCUCGUAGGCGGUUCGUCGCGUCCGGUGUGAAAGCCCAUCGCUUAACGGUGGGUCUGCGCCGGGUACGGGCGGGCUGGAGUGCGGUAGGGGAGACUGGAAUUCCCGGUGUAACGGUGGAAUGUGUAGAUAUCGGGAAGAACACCAAUGGCGAAGGCAGGUCUCUGGGCCGUCACUGACGCUGAGGAGCGAAAGCGUGGGGAGCGAACAGGAUUAGAUACCCCAGUAGUC